rnacentral:RNase_P_RNA from 1 species
CGAGUAAGCCAGACAAUCGCUGCUGAAUUUAUUCAGGAGAGGAAAGUCCGAGCUCCAUAGGGCAGGGUGCUGGUUAACGGCCAGUGGAGGCGACUCUAAGGAUAGUGCAACAGAAAUAAACCGCCUAUUUAUAGGUAAGGGUGGAACGGUGAGGUAAGAGCUCACCAGCGUAUAGGUGACUAUACGGCUAUGUAAACCCCACUUGGAGCAAGACCGAAUAGAGAGACAUUAUGGGGCUGCCCGUCCCGUCUCUGGGUGUGUCGCUUGAGCCUAUGAGCAAUCAUAGGCCUAGAUAGAUGAUUGUCAAAUACAGAACUCGGCUUAUAGACUUAUCUCGUAUA